UACGUAGGGCGCGAGCGUUGUCCGGAAUUAUUGGGCGUAAAGAGCUCGUAGGCGGCCUGUUGCGUCCGCUGUGAAAUCCCAGGGCUCAACCCUGGGCGUGCAGUGGAUACGGGGCAGGCUGGAGGCAGGCAGGGGGAGAACGGAAUUCCCGGUGUAGCGGUGAAAUGCGCAGAUAUCGGGAGGAACACCGGUGGCGAAGGCAGGUCUCUGGGCAUUAACUGACGCUGAGGAGCGAAAAGCAUGGGGGAGCGAACAGG
rnacentral:rRNA from 1 species